UGCAUAUCAAUAAGCGGAGGAAAAGAAACUAACAAGGAUUCCCCUAGUAACUGCGAGUGAAGCGGGAAAAGCUCAAAUUUAAAAUCUGGUGGUCUUUGGCCAUCCGAGUUGUAAUUUAGAGAAGCGUCUUCCGCGCUGGACCGUGCACAAGUCUCCUGGAAUGGAGCGUCAUAGAGGGUGAGAAUCCCGUCUUUGGCACGGAUGUACCAGGGCUUUUGUGAUGCGCUCUCGAAGAGUCGAGUUGUUUGGGAAUGCAGCUCAAAAUGGGUGGUGAACUCCAUCUAAAGCUAAAUAUUGGCGAGAGACCGAUAGCGAACAAGUACCGUGAGGGAAAGAUGAAAAGCACUUUGGAAAGAGAGUGAAACAGUACGUGAAAUUGUUGAAAGGGAAACGCUUGAAGUCAGUCGCGUCGACCGAGACUCAGCCUUGCCUCGGCUUGGUGUACUUCUCGGCUGACGGGUCAGCAUCAAUUUUGCCCCUUGGAUAAUGGCGAGGGAAAUGUGACACCUUUACGGUGUGUUAUAGUCUCUCGUCGCAUGCAAGGGUCGGGAUUGAGGAACUCAGCACGCGCCCUCGGGCGUCGGGGCUCUGCCCACGAUACGUGCUUAGGAUGUUGGCGUAAUGGCUUUAAACGACCCGUCUUGAA
rnacentral:rRNA from 1 species